CUACCCAUGAGCAGGAUGAAGCGAAAGUAAAAUUUCGUGGAGGUCCGAACCCACGAGCGUUGAAAAGCUCGGGGAUGACUUGUUGGUAGCGGUGAAAUUCCAAUCGAGCCCGGAUAUAGCUGGUUCUCCCCGAAAUAGCUUUAGGGCUAGCCUCAAGGUGAGAGAUACGGAGGUAGAGCACUGAAUGUCCUAGGGGGUAUUGCACCUACCG
rnacentral:rRNA from 1 species